rnacentral:rRNA from 1 species
UCACCUCCAGCAUUACCAUUAUUGGAGGCACUGCCUGCCCAGUGACAUCUGUUAAACGGCCGCGGUAUCCUGACCGUGCAAAGGUAGCAUAAUCAUUUGUUCUCUAAAUAAGGACUUGUAUGAACGGCCACACGAGGGUUUAACUGUCUCUUACUUCCAAUCAGUGAAAUUGACCUUCCCGUGAAGAGGCGGGAAUCCACAAAUAAGACGAGAAGACCCUAUGGAGCUUUAAUUAAUUAGCUCAUAAGCAAACAACAACACUCUAAGGGAACAUAACAUACUGCAUAAUGAGUUAACAAUUUAGGUUGGGGUGACCUCGGAAUACAAAACAACUUCCGAGUGAUUCAAAUCGAGACUUACAAGUCAAAACAACUCAUCACUUAUUGAUCCAAAUACUUGAUCAACGGAACAAGUUACCCUAGGGAUAACAGCGCAAUCCUAUUUAAGAGUCCAUAUCGACAAUAGGGUUUACGACCUCGAUGUUGGAUCAGGACAUCCCAAUGGUGCAGCCGCUAUUAAUGGUUCGUUUGUUCAACGAUU